rnacentral:piRNA from 1 species
UGAGAUGUUGUCACUUGUUAUAUCCCC